rnacentral:rRNA from 1 species
UAAGACAGAGGUGCCAAGCGUUAGGCGGAAUCACUGGGCUUAAAGCGUGUGUAGGCGGAUCGUUAAGUGCCUUGUGAAAUCCCACCGCUCAACGGUGGAACGGCUUGGCAUACUGGCGGUCUUGGGCCAUCUAGGGGCGACUGGAACAAACGGUGGAGCGGUGAAAUGCGUAGAUAUCGUUUGGAACGCCAAUGGUGAAAACAGGUCGCUGGGGAUGUGCCGACGCUGAGACACGAAAGCCAGGGGAGCGAACGG